rnacentral:rRNA from 1 species
GAGCGAAGCACUUAAGUUUGAUUCUUCGGAUGAGGACUUUUGUGACUGAGCGGCGGACGGGUGAGUAACGCGUGGGUAACCUGCCUCAUACAGGGGGAUAACAGUUAGAAAUGGCUGCUAAUACCGCAUAAGACCACAGUACUGCAUGGUACAGUGGUAAAAACUCCGGUGGUAUGAGAUGGACCCGCGUCUGAUUAGGUAGUUGGUGGGGUAACGGCCCACCAAGCCGACGAUCAGUAGCCGACCUGAGAGGGUGACCGGCCACAUUGGGACUGAGACACGGCCCAGACUCCUACGGGAGGCAGCAGUGGGGAAUAUUGCACAAUGGGCGAAAGCCUGAUGCAGCGACGCCGCGUGAAGGAUGAAGUAUUUCGGUAUGUAAACUUCUAUCAGCAGGGAAGAAAAUGACGGUACCUGACUAAGAAGCCCCGGCUAACUACGUGCCAGCAGCCGCGGUAAUACGUAGGGGGCAAGCGUUAUCCGGAUUUACUGGGUGUAAAGGGAGCGUAGACGGCUGUGCAAGUCUGAAGUGAAAGGCAUGGGCUCAACCUGUGGACUGCUUUGGAAACUGUGCAGCUAGAGUGUCGGAGAGGUAAGUGGAAUUCCUAGUGUAGCGGUGAAAUGCGUAGAUAUUAGGAGGAACACCAGUGGCGAAGGCGGCUUACUGGACGAUGAC